CCUACGGGCGGCAGCAGUGAGGAAUAUUGGUCAAUGGACGAGAGUCUGAACCAGCCAAGUAGCGUGAAGGAUGACUGCCCUAUGGGUUGUAAACUUCGUUUAUAUGGGAAGAAAACGUUCCACGUGUGGGAUUUUGUAUGUACUUUAUGAAUAAGGAUCGGCUAACUCCGUGCCAGCAGCCGCGGUAAUACGGAGGAUCCGAGCGUUAUCCGGAUUUAUUGGGUUUAAAGGGAGCGUAGAUGGGUUGUUAAGUCAGUUGGGAAAGUUUGCGGCUCAACCGUAAAAUUGCAAUUGAUACUGGCAGUCUUGCGUACCGUUGCGCUAGGCGGACUUC
rnacentral:rRNA from 1 species